CUCAAGAAACCACUUUCUUUGCUCAUCCAUGAGGA
rnacentral:miRNA from 1 species